rnacentral:rRNA from 1 species
AGCGAACGCUGGCGGCAGGCUUAACACAUGCAAGUCGAGCGCCUGUAGCAAUACAGGAGCGGCAGACGGGAGAGUAACACGUGGGAACGUACCCUUUGGUUCGGAACAACCCAGGGAAACUUGGACUAAUACCGGAUAAGCCCUAACGGGGAAAGAUUUAUCGCCAAAGGAUCGGCCCGCGUCUGAUUAGCUAGUUGGUGAGGUAACGGCUCACCAAGGCGACGAUCAGUAGCUGGUCNGAGAGGAUGAUCAGCCUCACUGGGACUGAGACACGGCCCAGACUCCUACGGGAGGCAGCAGGUGGGGAAUAUUGGACAAUGGGCGCAAGCCUGAUCCAGCCAUGCCGCGUGGGUGAU